rnacentral:rRNA from 1 species
UACAGAGGGGGCAAGCGUUAUUCGGAAUUAUUGGGCGUAAAGGGCUCGUAGGCGGUUUGUCGCGUCGGGAGUGAAAACGCCGUGCUUAACACGGCGCUUGCUUUCGAUACGGGCAGACUAGAGGUAUGCAGGGGAGAACGGAAUUCCUGGUGUAGCGGUGAAAUGCGCAGAUAUCAGGAGGAACACCCGUGGCGAAAGCGGCUCUCUGGGACGGUACUGACGCUGAGACGCGAAAGCGUGGGGAGCGAACAGG